rnacentral:lncRNA from 1 species
CCACAUGAGAACAUUGGCAAGAGUGGGGAGAUGGAGGCUGUGUUCAGGCCGGUCCACGCUGGGUGACCCAUGUGACCUGCUGCUUAGCAAUUCCUUGUCACCAUCUUCCCUUCUCAGCCUCUUUUUUCAUGCUAACAGGCAUAAAUGAAAUGAUGAUAAAAGUUUGAGCUCUUCUCGUGGAAUUCUUGUGAUACCGAUAUGUGCUACAUGUUCAUCAUCUCGUUGGUCUUCACCAUGAUAACUGUGGAGUAAGAAUUAUAAGCAGGUCACAGAUUAGGGACUUGAGAUUGACAGUUUGGCUUCCCUGUUCUGGGUGGCAAAGCCUGUGGAGUACUCACCUACCUGCUGCAUGAAGGCAGCAUGGAGGGACUGUAGCGGAUUAUCUACAAAGAUGGCCAAAAUUCUCUCAUCCCUGCAGGCACAUACAAAUGCCAGAAUCAGUCAAAACUAAGCUCACUGUCCUUGCUAAUAUUCUGCCCCAGAGAAGAACUGAAGCUCAGGUAUUCACCCUACAGGAAGCCUGAAUUUUGUAAAUGUUCUGCUUAGAAUGAGGAAGAAAGAUGAAGAAUGAGGAGGAAGAAGGGAGGAACAAGAGAGAGAGUUGUUGCAUGGCAUAAGUAAAAUGACAGCUAUAGGAUACAUGCAACUUUUCAGUGACAAAGAUCUGUGCAGCAUCGACAGUACUGCCUAAUGAGGUUUCACCAUAACGAAGUAUCACAACCAGUUUACAGACCAGAAAACUGAGACACAGGAAGGGGUGGUGACUUGAGCAAGGUGCAUCAGCUGGUGUUUCCAGAAGUUCCCCAGUCAUUGAGCAUUUCUGAGGCUCUUGAUGCAUAUGCCAAGUAGUUAUGGAGAAAGACGCAGCAGCUUACCUCUGCAGGCAUCAUUGUGUGAAAGGAAGACCCAGGCUCUCUCACCACCCUUGAACAGAAGCGUUUUGCUAAGGUGAUAGCUACAUGUCCAAGCCUAUUGCGUGGCAUGCAUUUUGCCUUCUGCAGCCCACUAAAUAUCAUCCUAAAUGUAUGUACCAAUGCUUAGGAGUUUGCAGUUCACCCGCAAACCUCAGCGAUCCAAGCUCCCCUGGAUGACCAUCACUCACCAAGAAAAGAACAAUAACAGACCUGUUUUGCUAAUCCAGGACUGUUCUCCAGCACUAACUCUAAAUAAUCCCUUCUGCUAGAGUCCACUUUCUGGAACCUGUUGUGAGUAUUGUGAAUUGUUUCAGUAAAUUGCAGAUGUAAGAUUCAAAACCAGACUUCACAUCUACCGACUUCAGUGACCCUGAAAUUUGUUCACAGAGAGCAUUUAACAUAACUGUCUUCAUCAUCUCCUUCUCUACAUUAAAAAUUAUGGCAACAGAAAGAAACCGAGGGUCUGCUAUUUGUCUCCAGAGGCCUUACAAACUGGUAGAAGAUGCAUAACAGAAGAGCUUAUGAAGUUAAAGAUGACAGCAUAGCAGCACUUUCGCAAAGACGUUAUUGGUGAUUCAAUCUUGAGUCAUGAAAAGUCAACCUGGAGCCACAAAAAGUCAACCUUGAGCCAAGCAGAGUGGAGAGUCAUACAUGCCAUUCCUGGGACCAUCAAAAAUGGCAGAGGUCACACAAAAGGCAAAACUUUUAAGAGGUGUUUCAAACGUCGUAUGGGCCAAAGAGAAGCUGGAUUUUCUAUUGGAGUCAGCUGUAACAUACGUGUGACGAAAUUGGCCUGUGAGGACAAGGCAGUGAGCAGAGAGGACAGCAGUCCUUAUGAGAACAAGCUCUAAGUAUCCUAGAAACAUUUGGAGAAUUCACCUGAGCUACAGGAUGUGGUAAGAUUUGGUGAGCAGGUGGUGAUUCUUACAGAAUCCCUCACACAUUCAUGCACAGAACUUCCCCAGCACACUCCCAGGUAGGACCACUUCCCUCUUCAUUGU